GAUGAAGAACGUAGUGAAAUGCGAUACGUAAUGUGAAUUGCAGAAUUCAGUGAAUCAUCGAAUCUUUGAACGCAUAUUGCGCUCUUUGGUAUUCCGAAGAGCAUGCUUGUUUGAGUAUCAGUAAACACCUCAAAGCUUUUGGAUUUUUUAAUCGAAAAGCUUUGGACUUGAGCAAUCCCAACACCAAUCUUUUUGAGAUCGGUUGCGGGUUGCUUGAAAUGCAGGUGCAGCUGGACAUUCUCCUGAGCUAAAAGCAUAUUCAUUUAGUCCCGUCAAACGGAUUAUUACUUUUGCUGCAGCUAACAUAAAGGGAGUUUGACCGUAUUGGCUGACUGAUGCAGGAUUUCACAAGGGUCGGCAACGAUUCUUGUUAAACUCGAUCUCAAAUCAAGUAAGACUACCCGCUGAACUUAAGCAUAUCAAUAAGCGGAGGA
rnacentral:misc_RNA from 1 species